UGCAGAUAAUGGAAAUCAUAUUGCAUUUGCUACUUCCAAUAGAAAACAACCUUUUGAUUUCCCUGCAGUCAAAUGUGCUGCAUGUGGCAGUCUGACGUACCAAUGCAGCCUCAGAUGUUCUGUUAAGCCAUCUUUCACUGAUUUUUCUUCAAAAAGAUUAUCUGAUCAUGAUCACUCUGGUGAUUCUAAACUUGAUGGUGGGGUUAAGUAUCCUUUGAGAUCUCAAACAAGAGGAUUACAGCUGGAUUCAUAUGGUGAGAGCAAUA